AGCCUACUGAGAGCUCAUAGUAGGUUAACUCUGCCCAAUGAUUAUGUUUUAGGUAGUUGAAUGGCCGCAGUACACUGACUGUGCUAAGGUAGCAUAAUCAAUUGUCUUUUAAAUGGAGUCUAGAAUGAAGGAGACCAUGAAGUGGCAUUUUCUUAAGCAAGUUUAUUUGAAAUUAAUGGUAGGUGGUGUAAAUGCCACCAGUAAGAAAAAAGACGAGAAGACCCUAAGAAUUUUACCGAAUGGUUUUGUUGGGGUGACAGGUUUACACAAUUAGUAAACUAGACUAAUAAUAAGGAAACAAGCCGAUCUUUAUACGAUUGGGAAAAUUACCUUAGGGAUAACAGCGUAAUGUUUUAUUAGCGAUUGCGACCUCGAUGUUGGAUUAAGAUUUGAAUGAUUAGUAAUUUAUUCAAAAGGUUCUGUUCGAACCAUCAAUCUU
rnacentral:rRNA from 1 species